rnacentral:lncRNA from 1 species
AGGGGAAAAGCUCCGGUUGGUGCUUCGGGCCGGCGUGGCCAGAGCGGAUAGCUUCUCCUCCGUUCGGCUCCUAUUGGUGUUGCGGGCUGGCGUGGGCAGGGCAAGGCGGUGGCAGUGUAAUCCCUGUGGUUUUGUCUCCGGCCAAGAGAAGGAUGGCCGGCGGUGAAGUCCAUCUUGCUGUAGUGGAGAAGGACUUGAUUGCUUUUGUUUUUUACUUUCUAGCGUCCUUUGUGUAAAUUUUCAGGACAACUUUUUCUUCUUCUCUGUAACUCCACCUACGAUGAAUCAAAGGCGCCGUGUCGAAUCCAAAAUCUACCUGAGCUGAACCUGCUGUCUGGUUUGACGUUCAUGUGUCCAGCGAGAUGGUCUACUCUGACUCACUUUUUUGAAAAAUGAAAAACAAUCUUUGUCGUAUGUACUUUACUCUUGAUGACAACAAAGAACAAGUUUUGACUGACGGCAAAUAACAGGGUUUUGCCGUCUAUUAUUUUUGCGACAAACGGCAAAUCUGUAGUUGGCUGACGGCAAAAUAUUUGCCGUCUGCCCGAUGAAAUGCUGACCGAAAAUUAUUCUUUGUCGACUUAUAUGUGCCGUCUGCUUACUGACGGCAAAAUCUUUGCCGUUUGUAUUUAGGUCUUUGCCGUCUAUAAUCCACAGACGGCAAAUUAUCUAAUUCUUGUAGUAUUUGGGCUUAUAGAACAGCAUAUAAAUAUGGCAGCAUAUUUGUGAAUCCGAUGGAUAAAUGUAUCCCUGUAUCCCUCUGUUUCUCAGCCUCCCGAUCAAAAUCCAUUGUCUCACGUGCAUCCAAGUGAAAAUUUGCAGUCACCCGCCCGCUUUCUGACUUAACAAAUAUUUUUGUUUGCGGAAACCCCCCUAAAGCCUCUGAUCCAUCCUCGCAAACCCAAGCCCCAAGUCGUGCGUCCUGCGUCUCCUGCCCCAAUUCCUUCGUUGCCAGAUCUCUCGGCUCCCAAAUCAAGUCCUAAUCCGAAGGCCUCGUGCGAUGAAAACGCCCAGAUGAUUCCCUCGAACUUCUCCGGAGACGACAAGCAAGUAGCGAAAGCAACUUCUCGACGGUCACAUAGACCCGCCCAGCCGGUCGUCUCAACGGCGAAGGCAUGAUAACUGACGAUGUUCCGCGGCUGCGAAGACGAGUCUGAUGAGGCGCCAGCGACGCCUUGGAUGGCCUCCCCUGACCAUGAUGAUUCCUUCAUAGGACGAUGCUGUCUCUCGUGAUCCGUAGGAAGCUGUAGUGCUGUAGUCUGUAGCCUGUAGCAGAGUAAUAGUAUUUGCCCCUAAUGAAUGGCAUGGUGUGAGAUGUUUUCACAUGUUUCUAUUCAUUUCUAAAUUGCUUACCAAUACGUGAUAUGCCUUGUGCAGAUCAGAGGCUUUGGCUCAGCUUUUCCCUUGUUAAAAUAUCAUGUUUGCUGUUGCCACAAAAUUCAGUGACUAGUUCAGUUAUGUACUUAUUUGUUGAAAAAAGACCAGUGAUUUUCUCAACCAUGUGGUCAAAGCAUAUAUUCUUUGGUAUAAAGCUUUUGAGUUGCAGAAGUGGGCUAGGAUGGCUUUCUCCACUUUUGAUAUGUAAGCUGUAAGCAGCAAGUCACUAUCCAAAAUUUCUUGAACAUUCACAAAGUUCACUGACUAGCUCCCGUAUGUGUUGAACAAAACCAGUGACUUAUUCAGAAAAUUUUCUUAAUUACCAGAAGUGGCCUGGGAUGGCCUUAACCAGUUUUGAGGUUAAAAAGGCUAUAAGCAACAAGUCACUAUCCAAAGUUUCCUGAACAUUUACUGUAGUUUAUGAUGUAUCAUGUAUAACAAGUAAAUUGAGAAACAGCAUUGUGUGCUCCAGUAUGAUGCUGGUCUGAGCAAAGAAUUGAUUUCACAUAAUGCAAAUUUGACAAUCAUCCGCCAGCUGAGGUUCAAUAUAUAAUGUAAUAAUUUGACAAUCAUCAAAGUUGUGAUAAAUCAAGUCAAUUUGAUUUAACAUAAUUGAAAUCCCCAUCCAUUACAUGUGUUAGAAUAAAUCCGAGGCAUACCGUCCAUCAUCUGAGGACCAAGCAAUCACACGACGACGACACCGAGAUUUGUUAACGAGGUUCAUCUAUAUGGCUACAUACCCGGGGCCUGACUACGGGCGCUCCUCCCCGUGACACCGCUACAAUAUCGCACCCGGUCGCGCUGGACACCGGCACAUGCCGCCGGCUUCCCCUGCGUUCCGGUGCUAUUAUGUUGCCAUAGGUUACAUCAUGUGUCUACCCUCUCUAUAUAAGAGAGGCCUAGGAUACAAGUGUCCUAUUAGGACACGACUCCACAUCCUAUGUAAACACAAUACAAAUCCUAGUCCAACUGUAACCUACCUUGUACACAAUCUUCAACACAACUCUAAAAAACUCCACCUUGGCGAAUAUUCUCCACCACCUUGAAUUCGUCAAUGCGUCAAACUUUCAUGUACAUUGGACUUGAGCUUAUUCCAUGAGCACCGCUGCUACUCCAAAGACUCCAUAUGACUCCACCUACAACUUGUAGUCCCUUCUUUUCUUGACCAUAGUCAACACUCGAGCAAAAUUAAGUUCCUUGUUACUCUAGUUUGUGCUCCAACUUCCAGAGUAUUCAUCCACGACAUCACACACUAAUCACUAACCUGCGUGAAAGUGAACAACUCACAUAUUGGGUGUCACACAUAAGAGUUACCUGAACUCAACAUCACCGCUCUUUUCUUGACCGCCUGUCUGAAAUUUGAAGGAAUUUCACCAUUUCUUGUAGUCAUCCCGAGUCAAAUUCGAAGUUGUCUCACCGCAUGUAUGACCACCAGAGCCCUGGCCCGUCUCCAUGCCCCGUGCAUGCCGCACGCCUCGCCGCUAUUACCUCGUCGAGCCUCCACUGUCCCGGUCGAGUCUCAAGGGUCGCAAACCCACACCACUCAACACCCACUGUAGAGUACCACCGAUCAUCAUCGACCGAUGACGAGUUUCAUGCUUCCAUCAGACCACUGGGCUCCAGUCCAGACUGCAUGUCACUCGCUUUUCCCAGCUGAAUAGGCUUCGACUCUCUGUCGACUUACGCCAUAGCCCCUCAAUUAGCUCCACCUUCAACAUGACUCCAUGGUAGAUGAUCAGUCCACCCCUCGCAGCCCGUCGACUUCAAGCUCUCAUGUGUGUACCAUCUUGAAUCAACCUCGCGCCAUAGUCUUGUCGAAGCCGCACAAGCACUCGGGCAUGUGCCAUGUGUUUCCAUGCCCAGAAGUCGGUCACCAUCAGCAUCACGCACCUAUGUCGUCCUCGCCCAUCUCACCACCGUCUUCCGUACCAACCGACUCACGGCGAUCCGUCAGACUGACUAGUCCGACCAAGCCGAACUUGUUCGACUGCACGACACGCUCGAGGCUCUCAAAUCGUCUUCCGUGAAUUUCCAUCCAUCACCUGAUAAUUCCAUCUUCGCUGACAUGACUUCAUGCAACGCCUUCAAGCAUCCCUGUUGUGUCAACAAAUCUUUCACCUUUGUUUGCCAUAACCCAAGGUUUUCAGUUCCACGAAAUUCUCCACCUCAAACCCGGAACCUGUUGACGUCCUGGUUCUUCGUACGGCUGACCCUGCGAAAAAACUAUCCGAGCUUUCCACGCGAUGCUACUAGCAAAACCAACCAACUUGGUCUUCACGUGAGCAGCUCCUGUCUUGGCUUUAACUCUUGAUACUAAGCUAAUUGCUUUUGCUUUGCCAACCAUCCUUGCUAGUCCCCGAUGGAUGUAUCAAUGGAUUUUUUCCUUCGCAAGAUUUGAUCUGCCGGUGUCGUAUACCAGGACUCGGUCCUAUUCUUUUGCUCCAAAACAAAUCUCACGUCUACUCCCGAUUCAUGCAGCGCGUACGGACACACGCAGCCAACCCAGCGUUCCACUUUUGCCUUGCUGCAGUUUCCACGCCUGACUAGCUUUCACAUGGGAUGCCACAUGACGUCGGCCUUGGGCAUCGGUCCUUAUAGACCAGCUCGCACCCGUGUCUGGCCUGGCUUGGCCAGCACCUAGGCUAUUCGAUCUCACCAAAAUCCGAUCCGAAACCCUCCGCUGUACUAGUCGCCUGCUGCAGGUGCACGCGUCGCUGCCGCUGUGAUCGACAUCGACCAAUCAACCCGCUGCUUCCGAUCGCUUCUGUCAAGUAAAAUUCGACCGCAUCUGUUUCUCGAUCACAACUCGUCGACGAACUUCGCCCCGUAUCACGACCGCUUCUCACAGAUUUUUUUUAUCGACGUUUUUACUCUUCCAGAUCAACAAUUCACAGCCUUCGAACAACCUAGCUCUGAUACAACUUGUUAGAAUAAAUCUGAGGCAUACCGUCCAUCAUCCGAGGACCAAGCAAUCACACGACCACGACACCGAGAUUUGUUAACGAGGUUCACCGAUAUGGCUACAUCCCCGGGGCCUGACUACGGGCGCCCCUCCUCGUGGCACCGCUACAAUACCGCACCCGGUCGCCUUGGACACCGGCACAUGCCGCCGGCUUCCCCUGCGUUCCGGUGCUAUUAUGUUGGCAUAGGUUACAUCGUGUGUCUACCCUCGCUAUAUAAGAGAGGCCUAGGAUACAAGUGUCCUAUUAGGACAUGACUCCACAUCCUAUGUUAACACAAUACAACUCCUAGUCCAAUUGUAACCUACCUUGUACACAAUAUUUGACACAACUCUAACAACAUGGCUUAUGUACAUCCAAGAGUAAAUCAAAACAUAUAUAAAAUCAUUAUUUGCUUGUUAAAAUUUGGUAUCAGGGAGCACAAUUUAGUAGCAUAUCUUCCACAGUCAUGCUCCUUUUCCCUUUUCUUGGACACAACUCUAGAAUGCCAACGUGAGGAAGAAUUGAUGGCAGACAAUAGAAGUAUACAGCCGUAGGAUGCCAAUUUGGAAUUGAAUCCUUCACGGUUACACAUGAAGCACUUAGUCCGGACCACUUUAUUCGCAAUCUUCUUCUGUUGGCCGAUACGAACUCCAAAACCCACAUUAUGUGCAUACGCCUUGUAGAACUUCUCCACUCCCUCAAGUCCUUCAAAUGUCAUACCUACUUUAGGCUUCAAAUUCUCAUCACAUUCAGGUGUAAAAGAUGAACACUGCAACAUCAAGAUAACCAUAUUCACAAAUAGAUUCCUAAAUUGGAUCGGAUCAGUUGUAAGGUGCAAGCUAAUCAAACUUACAGCAGAGGCAGGGCUGCAUUCUUUUUGGGUGUGCCAAACUCUUCCUCAUUCAUAUGCCUUUGCAAGUAAUUUGUUGGCUCCAUGUGACUGCAAACACACGUAUAUAUAGCAUCAAGCUUUCACACAUGAUGUAAUUUACGCAAGGACUGAAUUUUUUAGGGGGUUGUGUUACCUGAAACAUGUGGUGUCAUGGUGUUCCUGAUUGCUACUUAUCUUGUGGUUGUCCAUUCGAGAAACAGCUGAUCUAGUGUGUAACAGCUUCUUAGACCGUGAAUCUGCAGAGGAAAGAUACAGAGAUCAGGACUUGCAUUCAUGCAUGGGCCGGCGGCUGCCGAUGAACGCCAAGAUCAAAUCAACUAGGAAGAUAUGUACUUGCACGGGGCAUCUGUUGGUAGAUGUCGUCGCUCCAAUAGGAGAGCAGAGGAGUGCGGGCGUUCGGCCUAGGGUUCCACGCCACUGCGGGAGAGAGGAUCAGAGGAACACCGAGAGUAGUCAAUUACGGCGCACGAUGCAGUCCUACGUCCAGGGUUAUUUUUGCAAAGAAAAACUGCUGGUAUGGGCUAGAGGUGGGCGUGUAAAUGUAAAUUUGCUGCAAAUUAAUCUAGAGCAAAAGAUUUUGAUCGGGAGGCUGAGAGCAGAGGGAUACAGGGAUACACUUAUCCAUCGGAUUCACGAGAUAUGUUGCCAUUAUUUUUCUACUUUGUAAGGUUCUCAAGAAUAAUUAAUAAAUGCAGACGGCAAAGAUCUUUGUCGUUUAUUUUUUUUGCAGACGGCAAAGUGAGCUCAAAAAAAAGAUACAUACAACAAAGAGAAAGCACACCACGCGGAUCGAUGAUGUGGCAGCAUGUCAACCCACACAUCCCCGGGCACAAUCACAGCCCACCCCAACACUCUCCCACGCCCGACCCCACCACGCUCUCUCUCCCUCAUCCCGCAUGAUCUCUCUCCCUUAUCCCGCACAAAUCUCUCUCUCUUUCUCUCUGUCUCGUACCUAUCUCUCUCUAACGCACGCUCGCAGUCCACCCCCACCACCUUGCCAGCAUCUCGAUCCACUCGCUAGCGCCACCACUCGCGGCUCCUUCGGCCGGCAAACCCUCCGCCACCGCCGGCAGACCCUCGUCCUCCCUUUCCUCUGCCCCGCCUCCUCCGGCUCCCUCCUUCCCCUUCCUGUGAGCAGGGCGGCCGGCGCGGGAGGGCGCUUCGGCUCCUCUAGUAGGGGCUGGCGGCGCAAGCCCCGCUUGGCCGGUGCGGGAGGCCACUUUGGCUCCUCCAGCGGGGGCGGGCAAAGCGACCGGCGCGGGAGGCCACUGCAGCUUCUCCAGCGGGGCGGGCGGCGCGAGCACGGCUUGGCCGGUGCGGGCAGAGCGAAUGGCACGGGAGGCCGCUACAGCUUCUCCAAGGGGCGGGCGGCGCGAGCAAGACAAGGCCGGUGCCGGCAGAGCGGCCGGCGUGGGCGGCCGCUGCGAGCGACGCGUGGGCGGGCGGCGGGNNNNNNNNNNNNNNNNNNNNNNNNNNNNNNNNNNNNNNNNNNNNNNNNNNNNNNNNNNNNNNNNNNNNNNNNNNNNNNNNNNNNNNNNNNNNNNNNNNNNNNNNNNNNNNNNNNNNNNNNNNNNNNNNNNNNNNNNNNNNNNNNNNNNNNNNNNNNNNNNNNNNNNNNNNNNNNNNNNNNNNNNNNNNNNNNNNNNNNNNNNNNNNNNNNNNNNNNNNNNNNNNNNNNNNNNNNNNNNNNNNNNNNNNNNNNNNNNNNNNNNNNNNNNNNNNNNNNNNNNNNNNNNNNNNNNNNNNNNNNNNNNNNNNNNNNNNNNNNNNNNNNNNNNNNNNNNNNNNNNNNNNNNNNNNNNNNNNNNNNNNNNNNNNNNNNNNNNNNNNNNNNNNNNNNNNNNNNNNNNNNNNNNNNNNNNNNNNNNNNNNNNNNNNNNNNNNNNNNNNNNNNNNNNNNNNNNNNNNNNNNNNNNNNNNNNNNNNNNNNNNNNNNNNNNNNNNNNNNNNNNNNNNNNNNNNNNNNNNNNNNGGGCGGCGGGCGUGUGGCGCGAGCAGGGCACGGCCGGCGCGGGAGGCCGCUGCGGGCAGGGGAAAUGCUCCGGUUGGUGCUUCUGGCCGGCGUGGCCAGAGCGGAUAGCUUCUCCUCCGUUCGGCUCCUAUUGGUGUUGCGGGCUGGCGUGGGCAGGGCAAGGCGGUGGCAGUGUAAUGCCUGUGGUUUUGUCUCCGGCCAAAAGAAGGACGGCCGGCGGUGAAGUCCAUGUUAAUGUAGUGGAGAAGGACUUGAUUGCUUUUAUUUUUUACUUUCUAGGGUCCUUUGUGUAAAUUUUCAGGACAACUUUUUCUUCUUCUCUGUAACUCCACCUACGAUGCAUCAAAGGCGCCGUGUCGAAUCCAAAAUCUACCUGAGCUGAACCUGCUGUCUGGUUUGACGUUCAUGUGUCCAGCGAGAUGCUCUGCUCUGACUCAGUUUUUUGAAAAAUGAAAAACAAUCUUUGCCGUCUGUACUUUACUCUUGAUGACAACAAAGAACAAGUUUUGACUUGACGGCAAAUAACAGGGUUUUGCCGUCUAUUAUUUUUGCGACAAACGGAAAAUCUAUAGUUGGCUGACGGCAAAAUCUUUGUCGUCUGCCCGAUGAAAUGCUGACGGAAAAUUAUUCUUUGUCGACUUAUCUGUGUCGUCUGCUUAUUGACGGCAAAAUCUUUGCCGUUUGUAUUUAGGUCUUUGCCGUCUAUAAUCCACAGACGGCAAAUUAUCUAAUUCUUGUAGUAUUUGGGCUUAUAGAACAGCAUAUAAAUAUGGCAGCAUAUUUUGUGAAUCCGAUGGAUAAAUGUAUCCCUGUAUCCCUCUGUUUCUCAGCCUCCCGAUCAAAAUCCAUUGUCUCACGUGCAGCCAAGUGAAAAUUUGCAGUCACCCGCCCGCUUUCUGAUUUAACAAAUAUUUUUGUUUGCGGAAACCCCCCCUAAAGCCUCCGAUCCAUCAUCGCAAACCCAAGCCCCAAGUCGUGCGUCCUGCGUCUCCUGCCCCAACUCCUUCGUUGCUAGAUCUCUUGGCUCCCAUAUCAAGUCCUAAUCUGAAGGCCUCGUACAGCGAAAACGCCCAGAUGAUUCCCUCGAACUUCUCCGGAGAUGACAAGCAAGUAGCGAAAGCAACUGCUCGACGGUCACAUAGACCCGCCCGGCCAGUCGUCUCGACGGCGAAGGCAUGAUAACUGACGAUGUUCCGCGGCUGCGAAGAUGAGUCUGAUGAGGCGCCAGCGACGCCUUGGAUGGCCUCCCCUGACCACGACGAUUCCUUCAUAGGACGAUGCCGUCUCUCAUGAUCCGUAGGAAGCUGUAGUGCUGUAGUCUGUAGCCUGUAGCAAAGUAAUAGUAUUUGCCCCUAAUGAAUGGCAUGGUGUGAGAUGUUUUCACAUGUUUCUAUUCAUUUCUAAAUUGCUUACCAAUACGUGAUAUGCCUUGUGCAGAUCAGAGGCUUUGGCUCAGCUUUUCCCUUGUUAAAAUAUCAUGUUUGCUGUUGCCACAAAAUUCAGUGACUAGUUCAGUUAUGUACUUAUGUGUUGAAAAAAGACUAGUGAUUUUCUGAACCAUGUGGUCAAAGCAUAUAUUCUUUGGUAUAAAGCUUUUGAGUUGCAGAAGUGGGCUGGGAUGGCUUUCUCCACUUUUGAUAUGUAAGCUGUAAGCAGCAAGUCACUAUCCAAAAUUUCUUGUAACAUUCAUAAAGUUCACUGACUAGCUCCCGUAUGUGUUGAACAAAACCAGUGACUUAUUCAAAAAAUCUUCUUAAUUACCAGAAGUGGCCUGGGAUGGCCUUAACCAGUUUUGAGGUUAAAAAGGCUAUAAGCAACAAGUCACUAUCCAAAGUUUCCUGAACAUUUACUGUAGUUUAUGAUGUAUCAUGUAUAACAAGUAAAUUGAGAAACAGCAUUGUGUGCUCCAGUAUGAUGCUGGUCUGAGCAAAGAAUUGAUUUCACAUAAUGCAAAUUUGACAAUCAUCCGCCAGAUGAGGUUCAAUAUAUAAUGUAAUAAUUUGACAAUCAUCAAAGUUGUGAUAAAUCAAGUCAAUUUGAUUUAACAUAAUUGCAAUCCCCAUCCAUUACAUGUGUUAGAGUAAAUCCGAGGCAUACCGUCCAUCAUCCGAGGACCAAGCAAUCACACGACCACGACACCGAGAUUUGUUAACGAGGUUCAUCGAUAUGGCUACAUCCCCGGGGCAUGACUACGGGCGCUCCUCCCCGUGACACCGCUACAAUAUCGCACCCGGUCGCCCUGGACACCGGCACAUGCCGCCGGCUUCCCCUGCGUUCCGGUGCUAUUAUGUUGCCAUAGGUUACAUCGUGUGUCUACCCUCUCUAUAUAAGAGAGGCCUAGGAUACAAGUGUCCUGUUAGGACACGACUCCACAUCCUAUGUAAACACAAUACAACUCCUAGUCCAACUGUAACCUACCUUGUACACAAUAUUCGACACAACUCUAACAAACUCCACCUUGGCGAAUAUUCUCCACCACCUUGAAUUCAUCAAUGCGUCAAACUUUCAUGUACAUUAGACUUGAGCUUAUUCCAUGGGCACCGCUGCUACUCCAAAGACUCCAUGUGACUCCACCUGCAACUUGUAGUCCCUUCUUUUCUUGACCAUAGUCAACACUCGAGCAAAACUAAGUUCCUUGUUACUCUAGUUUGUGCUCCAACUUUCAGAGUAUUCAUCCACGACAUCACACACUGAUCACUGACCUGCGUGAAAGUGAACAACUCACAUAUUGGGUGUCACACAUAAGAGUUACAUGAACUCAACAGCACCGCUCUUUUCUUGACCGCCUUUCUGCAAUUUGAAGGAAUUUCACCAUUUCUUGUAGUCAUCCCGAGUGAAAUUCGCAGUUGUCUCACCGCAUGUAUGACCACCAGAGCCAUGGCCCGUCUCCAUGCCCCGUGCAUGCCGCACGCCUCGCCGCUAUUACCGCAUCGAGCCUCCUCUGUCCCGGUCGAGUCUCAAGGGUCGCAAACCCACACCACUCAACACCCACUGUAGAGUACCACCGAUCAUCAUCGACCGAUGACGAGUUUCAUGCUUCCAUCAGACCACUGGGCUCCAGUCCAAACUGCAUGUCACUCGCUUUUCCCAGCUGAAUAGGCUUAGACUCUCUGUCGACUUACGCCAUAGCCCCUCAAUCAGCUCCACCUUCAACAUGACUCCAUGGUAGAUGAUCAGUCCACCCCUUGCACCCCGUCUACUUCAAGCUCUCAUGUGUGUACCGUCUUGAAUCAACCUCGCGCCAUAGUCUUGUCGAAUCCGCACAAGCACUUGGGCAUGUGCCAUGUGUUUCCACGCCCAGAAGUCGGUCACCAUCAGCAUCACGCACCUAUGUCGUCGUCGCCAAUCUCACGACCGUCUUCUGUACCAACCGACUCACGUCGAUCCGUCAGACUGACUAGUCCGACCAAGCCGAACUUGUUCGACUGCAUGACACACUCAAGGCUCUCAAAUCGUCUUCCGUGAAUUUCCAUCCAUCACCUGAUAAUUCCAUCUUCGCUGACAUGACUUCAUGCAACGCCUUCAAGCAUCCCUAUUGUGUCAACAAAUCUUUCACCUUUGUUUGUCAUAACCCAAGGUUUUCAGUUCCACGAACUUCUCCACCUCAAACCCGGAACCCGUUGACGUCCUGGUUCUUCGUACGGCUGACCCUGUGAAAAAACUAUCCGAGCUUUCCACGCGACGCUACUAGCAAAACCAACCAACUUGGUCUUCAUGUGAGCAACUCCUGUCUUGGCUUUAACUCUUGAUACUAAGCUAAUUGCUUUUGCUUUGCCAACCAUCCUUGCUAGUCCCCGAUGGAUGUAUCAAUGGAUUUUUUUCCUUCGCAAGAUUUGAUUUGCCAGUGUCGUAUACCAGGACUCGGUCCUAUUCUUUUGCUCCAAAACAAAUCUCACGUCUACUCCCGAUUCAUGCAGCGCGUACGGCCACCCGCAGCCAACCCAGCGUUCCACUUUUGCCUUGCUGCAGUUUCCAUGCCUGACUAGCUUUCACAUGGGAUGCCACAUGACGUCGGCCUUCGGCAUCAGUCCUUAUAGACCAGCUCGCACCCGUGUCUGGCCUGGUUUGGCCAGCACCUAGGCGAUUCGAUCUCACCACAAUCCGAUCCGAAACCCUCCGAUGUACUAGUCGCCUGCUGCAGGUGCACGCGUCGUUGCCGUUGCGAUCGACAUCGACCAAUCAACCCGCUUCUUCCGAUCGCUUCUGUCAAGCAAACUUCGAUCGCUUCUGUUUCUCGAUCACAUCUCGCCGACGAACUUCGCCCCGUAUCACGACCGCUUCUCACAGAUUUUUUUAUCAACGUUUUUUACUCUUCUAGAUCAACAAUUCACAGCCUUCGAACAACCUAGCUCUGAUACCACUUAUUAGAAUAAAUCCAAGGCAUACCGUCCAUCAUCCGAGGACCAAGCAAUCACACUACCACGACACUGAGAUUUGUUAAUGAGGUUCACCGAUAUGGCUACAUCCCCGGGGCCUGACUACGGGCGCUCCUCCCCGUGACACCGCUACAAUACCGCACCUGGUAGCCCUGGACACCGGCACAUGCCGCCGGCUUCCCCUGCGUCCCGGUGCUAUUAUGUUGGUAUAGGUUACAUCGUGUGUCUACCCUCGCUAUAUAAGAGAGGCCUAGGAUACAAGUGUCCUAUUAGGAAAUGACUCCACAUCCUAUGUAAACACAAUACAACUCCUAGUCCAACUGUAACCUACCUUGUACACGAUAUUCGACACAACUCUAACAACAUGGCUUAUGUACAUCCAAGAGUAAAUCAAAACAUAUAUAAAAUCAUUAUUUGCUUGUUAAAAUUUGGUAUCAGGGAGCACAAUUUAGUAGCAUAUCUUCCACAGUCAUGCUCCUUUUCCCUUUUCUUGGACACAACUCUAGAAUGCCAAUGUGAGGAAGAAUUGAUGGCAGACAAUAGAAGUAUACAGCCGUAGGAUGCCAAUUUGGAAUUGAAUCCUUCACGGUUACACAUGAAGCGCUUAGUCCGUACCACUUUAUUCGCAAUCUUCUUCUGUUGGCCGGUACGAACUCCAAAACCCACAUUAUGUGCAUACGCCUUGUAGAACUUCUCCACUCCCUCAAGUCCUUCAAAUGUCAUACCUACUUUAGGCUUCUAAUUCUCAUCACAUUCAGGUGUAAAAGAUGAACACUGCAACAUCAAUAUAACCAUAUUCACAAAUAGAUUCUUAAAUUGGAUCGGAUCAGUUGUAAGGUGCAAGCUAAUCAAACUUAAAGCAGAGGUGGGGCUGCAUUCUUUUUGGGUGUGCCAAACUCUUCCUCAUUCAUAUGCCUUUGCAAGUAAUUUCUUGGCUCCAUGUGACUGCAAACACACGUAUAUAUAGCAUCAAGCUUUCACACAUGAUGUAAUUUACGCAAGGACUGAAUUUUUUAGGGGGUUGUGUUACCUGAAACAUGUGGUGUCAUGGUGUUCCUGAAUGCUACUUAUCUCGUGGUUGUCCAUUCGAGAAACGGCUGAUCUAGUGUGUAACAGCUUCUUAGACUGUGAAUCUGCAGAGCAAAGAUACAGAGAUCAGGACUUGCAUUCAUGCAUGGGCCGGCGGCUGCCGAUGAAUGCCAAGAUCAAAUCAACUAGGAAGAUAUGUACUUGCCCGGGGCAUCUGUUGGUAGAUGUCGUCGCUCCAACAGGAGAGCAGAGGAGCGCGGGCGUUCGGCCUAGGGUUCCACGCCACUGCCGGAGAGAGGAUCAGAGAACACCAAGAGUAGUCAAUUACGGCGCACGAUGGAGUCCUACGUCCAGGGUUAUUUUUGCAAAGAAAAACUGCUGGUAUGGGCUAGAGGCGGGCGUGUAAAUGUAAAUUUGGUGCAAAUUAAUCUAGAGCAAAAGAUUUUGAUCGGGAGGCUGAGAGCAGAGGGAUACAGGGAUACACUUAUCCAUCGGAUUCACGAGAUAUGUUGCCAUUAUUGUUUACUUUGUAAGGUUCUCAAGAAUAAUUAAUAAAUGCAGACGGCAAAGAUCUUUGCCGUCUAUUUUUUUUGCACACGGCAAAGUGAGCUCUUUGUCGUCUGUAAUAAAAAAUACAUACAACAAAGAGAAAGCACACCACGCGGAUCGAUGAUGUGGCAGCAUCUCAACCCACACAUCCCCGGGCACAAUCACAGCCCACCCCAACACUCUCCCAUGCCCGACCCCACCACACUCUCUCUCCCUCAUCCCGCAUGAUCUCUCUCCCUUAUCCCGCACAAAUCUCUCUCUCUCUCUUUCUCUCUGUCUCGUACCUGUCUCUCUCUAACGCACGCACGCAGCCCACCCCCACCACCUCGCCCGUGUCUCGAUCCACUCGCUAGCGCCAGCACUCGCGGCUCCUUCGGCCGGCAAACCCUCCGCCACCACCGGCAGACCUUCGUCCUCCCUUUCCUCUGCCCCGCCUCCUCCGGCUCCCUCCUUCCCCUUCCUGUGGGCAGGGCGGCCGGCGCGGGAGGGCGCUUCGGCUCCUCUAGUAGAGGCUAACGGUGCAAGCCCCGCUUGGCCGGUGCGGGAGGCCACUUUGGCUCCUCCAGCGGGGGCGGGCAAAGCGACCAGCGCGGGAGGCCGCUGCAGCUUCUCCAGCGGGGCGGGCGGCGCGAGCACGGCUUGGCCGGUGCGGGCAGAGCGAAUGGCGCGGGAGGCCGCUGCAGCUUCUCCAAGGGGCGGGUGGCGCGAGCAAGACAUGGCCGGUGCGGGCAGAGCGGCCGGCAUGGGAGGCCGUUGCGAGCGACGCGUGGGCGGGCAGCGGGCGGCGGGCGUGUGGCGCGAUCAGGGCACGGCCGGCGCGGGAGGCCACUGCGGGCAAGGGGAAAGCUCCGGUUGGUGCUUUGGGCCGGCGUGGCCAGAGCGGAUAGCUUCUUCUCCGUUCGGCUCCUAUUGGUGUUGCGGGCUGGCGUGGGCAGGGCAAGGCAGUGGCAGUGUAAUCCCUGUGGUUUUGUCUCCGGCCAAAAAAAGGACGGCCGGCGGUGAAGUCCAUGUUACUGUAGUGGAGAAGGACUUGAUUGCUUUUAUUUUUUACUUUCUAGGGUCCUUUGUGUAAAUUUUCAGGACAACUUUUUCUUCUUCUCUGUAACUCCACCUACGAUGAAUGAAAGGCGCCGUGACGAAUCCAAAAUCUACCUGAGCUGAACCUGCUAUCUGGUUUGACGUUCAUGUGUCCAGCGAGAUGCUCUGCUCUGACUCACUUUUUUGAAAAAUUAAAAACAAUCUUUGCCGUCUGUACUUUACUCUUGAUGACAACAAAGAACAAGUUUUGACUGACGGCAAAUAACA